AUUGAACGCUGGCGGCAUGACUUACACAUGCAAGUCGAACGGCAGCAUGGAAGAGCUUGCUCUUCUGAUGGCGAGUGGCGAACGGGUGAGUAAAGCAUCGGAACGUACCGUGUAGUGGGGGAUAACGUAGCGAAAGUUACGCUAAUACCGCAUACGCACUGAGGUGGAAAGCAGGGGAUCGCAAGACCUUGCGCUAUACGAGCGGCCGAUGUCAGAUUAGCUAGUUGGUAGGGUAAAGGCCUACCAAGGCGACGAUCUGUAGCGGGUCUGAGAGGAUGGUCCGCCACACUGGGACUGAGACACGGCCCAGACUCUACGGAGCAGCAGUGGGGAAUUUUGGACAAUGGGCGAAAGGCCUGGAUCCAGCCAUGCCGACGU
rnacentral:rRNA from 1 species